rnacentral:lncRNA from 1 species
UAUAUAUAGUGGGCUGGUAUGCUUUCGUAAGCACGGAGGCCUCCGUGCUUCCACUUUGUUUUCGAUGUUCGGACUUUCGAAUCGACGAUCGGCUCCGUUAGAGUUGAUCUAGAGUAUUUAAAGUACCAAGAAAUUAAAUUUUNAGAGAGAGAGAGAGAGAGAGAGAGAGAGAGAGAGAGAGAGAGAGUUGUGCUAGAAUACUAUUGAUAGCAAACAGACUUCGUGCUAGAGUACUAUUGAUAGCAAACGGGCUUCGUUGCCACCCAUUUGUUUUCGAUGAUGGAGCCUCCAAAUCGACGAUCGGUACCGUUGAACAUGAUCUAUAUUACUUGAAGUGUUUAGAAAUCAAAUUUUAAAUCUUUUCGACAUCAUUUGCCUAAUGAUCAAAGAAUUUCAAAUUUUGUAAUUUUAAUGGUCGAUAUGAGGCGUUUUCUCGUUUAACGGCGUAAAGAUAUUCACAUCAAUUAAAUUUUUGUUAGAAAAUUCUUUAAACUAUUAAAACAAGAUUUACACUCUUGAUCUUGAUUACAAAGCUCCUAUCAUCAUUUUUCAAAGAAUAUUUAUUUUCAACCGUUCAUUUUUGUUUCCACUCGAUGGAUAAGAGAACAAUAUCGAAAAUAUAU